rnacentral:rRNA from 1 species
CCUACGGGUGGCAGCAGUGGGGAAUAUUGGACAAUGGGGGGAACCCUGAUCCAGCCAUGCCGCGUGUGUGAAGAAGGCCCUCGGGUUGUAAAGCACUUUCAGUGAGGAAGAACGCCUGGUGGUUAAUACCCAUCAGGAAAGACAUCACUCACAGAAGAAGCACCGGCUAACUCCGUGCCAGCAGCCGCGGUAAUACGGAGGGUGCGAGCGUUAAUCGGAAUUACUGGGCGUAAAGCGCGCGUAGGUGGCUUGAUAAGCCGGUUGUGAAAGCCCCGGGCUCAAACUGGGAACGGCAUCCGGAACUGUCAAGCUAGAGUGCAGGAGAGGAAGGUAGAAUUCCCUGUGUAGCGGUGAAAUGCGUAGAGAUCGGGAGGAAUACCAGUGGCGAAGGCGGCCUUCUGGACUGACACUGACACUGAGGUGCGAAAGCGUGGGUAGCAAACAGGAUUAGCUACCCGUGUAGUC